AAAAACAAAAACCAUUAUUUUCUUCACAUACGCAUUCAGGAAUUUCAAAAGUAAUAGUAAGGAAAAUAGUGUUAUAAAAAAUAAUUUUAUAAGCACAAAAAUAAAAACCACUAUUUUCUUGAAAUUUACAUUCAAGAAUUUUAAAAGUAUGGCAAGGAAAAUAGUUUUAGUAAAAAAUUAUUUUAUAUGCACAAAAAUAAAAA